rnacentral:tRNA from 1 species
GCCACGGUGGUCUAGCGGUCAGAACACUAGCCUUGUAAGCCUGGUGUCCCGGGUUCAAUUCCCGGCAGUGCCC